rnacentral:rRNA from 1 species
GACGUAGGGCGCGAGCGUUGUCCGGAUUUAUUGGGCGUAAAGAGCUCGUAGGCGGUUUGUCGCGUCGGCUGUGAAAACUCGGGGCUCAACCCCGAGCCUGCAGUCGAUACGGGCAGACUAGAGUGCUGUAGGGGAGACUGGAAUUCCUGGUGUAGCGGUGAAAUGCGCAGAUAUCAGGAGGAACACCGGUGGCGAAGGCGGGUCUCUGGGCAACAACUGACGCUGAGGAGCGAAAGCGUGGGGAGCGAACAGG